rnacentral:rRNA from 1 species
GCCUAGCCUUAACCCAACAAUCAAAUAACCCAUUGUUCGCCAAAUAACUACGAGUGAAAACUUAAAAUUUAAAAGACUUGACGGUACUUCACAACAACCUAGAGGAGCCUGUCUAACAACCGAUACCCCACGAUUAACCCCACCCCCCCUAGCCCAACAGUCUAUAUACCGCCGUCGCCAGCUUACCUUGUGAAAGAAACAAAGUGAGCCCAACAGCCCCCACUAAUACGACAGGUCGAGGUGUAACUAAUGAGGGGGUUAAGAUGGGCUACAUUUUCUAACACAGAAAACACGAAUAGACUAUGAAACUAGAAACUGAAGGCGGAUUUAGCAGUAAGUUAAGAACAAAAUGCUUAACCGAAACCAACGCAAUGAAGUGCGUACACACCGCCCGUCAUCCCUGUUAUAAACCCGUAUAGAAUUCAUAAACAUAUCGCCUUCCUUUAAAGCAGGGCAAGUCGUAACAUGGUAAGCGUACUGGAAAGUGCGCUUAGAAA